rnacentral:rRNA from 1 species
UCGGAAUCAUUGGGCGUAAAGCGCACGUAGGCGGUCUGUUAUGUCGGAUGUGAAAGCCCUUGGCUUAACUGAGGAAGUGCAUCCGAAACUGGCAGGCUAGAGUACUAAAGAGGGUCGCGGAAUUCCCGGUGUAGAGGUGAAAUUCGUAGAUAUCGGGAGGAACACCGGUGGCGAAGGCGGCGACCUGGGUAGAUACUGACGCUGAGGUGCGAAAGCGUGGGGAGCAAACAGG